UUUUGUUGGGGCGAGAAAGCUGUUCUCUUGGCUGUUUAUAGUCAUUGUUCACCACAUGGAAAUACCCAUGUCUACAUGUGCAAAUGAAUGUAAAUAGAAAAGAAGGAAAACGGUCAAUAUAUAUAAUUUUGGGACUGUUAGUUCCUUUGCAAAUUUACGUUCAUAUUAGAACAGAGAAGAGAAAAGUUGGGACCAAAAGUUUUACCAGAAAAUUUACCUUUGCAUCCUCUAUACAGGCACUUCAACAAAAUGGUAUGUAAUAAUACUAUAUUUCUAUCUUUAAUAAUAUGUGAAAUUAGAUUAGUUCACCCCAAAAAUAGAGCUAAACUGGGGUUAAUAAACUGAGUUGAUGGAUUUUGCUGAACAUAAGAAUAAUAUGUAAGGAAAUAGACGUGCAAUAAAGUGCAUAUUUAACAGUUUAUAGGUCACCUACAUGGAACCAACAGCACUCAGUACAUUUUCUCUUCUACAGCCACAAAACAAAUAGGGUAUACCAGUUUCCAUUAAGAUAAAAUGGUAUGCAGUUAUCUAGCAUGGCUUAAUGGUAAUAGAUAAUGAAAAAUUUGGUUUCAUUAAAAGGUUAUCAGAAAUUGAUAUGUGUUGAGUAUGAACGUAACUAUAUCACUGUUUAUAUUGCAGAAAAGAUCAAAUCAAAACAAGGCCAAUAGGAAAAAGCAGCAUGUGAACCACACCGCAGGCAGAAAGUCUUUUCUGAGAUUAAUGCAAGAGAUAGUAAGAUUCUAGUGAUUUUCUUCUUUAUUAGCUGAAUGGUCAGUGCUAGUGUGUAAUAGAAAGAGGGGUGGGUAAUAUUUAUGUAUGUAUUAAUUAGGGUCCAAGCGCAUCAAACUUAGUUAACUUCUAUAAAGAAACUUAUUGGUCAAAGAAGAAAGGGGCAUUUGUCACUUCCAUGACAGAAACCUACUAUGUGCGUGGCCUCUAACUUACUCAUUUUCAGAAAAUUGAGAUUUUUUAUAGAUAAUCAUUUUACUUAAUUUACUUCAACUAUAACUCAUAUAAGAUAAAUUUUUGCAUCAGAAUACGAUGUGUGAGAAAUUAGAUGAGAUACAGUCUGAGGAGCGUACAAAUGAGGCUGCAAAUAUAAUAUUCAAAGAUGUGCUAGGACACAGGUCUGGUUAUACAAGAGGACUUGGUGGUUCAGUUAUACACAAGACUAGACCAUCAGCUAUGUCGGCACAAUUUGAGCACCUAGCCCAAGAAAAUGAGAAGCAUAAACAUGAGGCAUUGAUGUACAAGACAGAGUUGGAUGAGCUGAAAAGGGAUGUAAGACAAUUAUUGGUUUGGCAAAUGUCCUAUGACCAAAGGAUGAAUGACUUAACAUCUCAAAGAGUGUCUAAUAUAGACACUCAAGGAGAUCUUUAGCUGGAUGGGUUUCUAAACUGGGAGUUUUUUGAAAUUUUGUUAAGUAUUCAUCACUUUUGGUGGCAGUUACAUAUUUUGUUACAUAGUUGUCAAGGGAAAGGGUGCAGGUUUUUGAAGUUUGUUGCAAAAUGGCAUUACAGCAAGUCAUGAUGUGAAUUUGUUGCAAAAUGGUGCUGUCUCUAUUUUGUUAAAGGUAGCUGUGGGCCAGGUUGAUAUGAGCUCAAUUGUAAUUUUUUGAUGCACCAAUGCGUCGGACUACAGGAUGCUAUAUGCUUGACUUCACUCCCAGGUUUAAAUGUAUAGCCAUGUUUUAGACAAGACCAAUGAGUGGCACAUGGAAUUUAUGUGUUUAGUGGCAGUAUGUAUUUAGGAAUUUAAGCUUGAUUUUGCAUGACAUUUAAUCUUUCUGCCUGCUAUAACGUAUGAUUAUACUACUUGUAAAUGAGAUGUUAAUUAUUCAAGCUUGUAUGAAAACUAGAUGGCAAUAUUGUAGAUGGAAAUGCAAGUAAAAUAUAUGGUGUUUUAUUU